rnacentral:rRNA from 1 species
CGCUGACGAGUGGCGGACGGGUGAGUAAUGCGUAGGAAUCUACCCAGUUGAGUGGGAUAGCCUAGGGAAACUUAGGGUAAUACCGCAUAAGCCCUACGGGGGAAAGCAGGGGACCGAAAGGCCUUGCGCGAUUGGAUGAGCCUACGUCGGAUUAGCUUGUUGGUGGGGUAAAGGCCUACCAAGGCGACGAUCCGUAGCUGGUCUGAGAGGAUGAUCAGCCACACUGGGACUGAGACACGGCCCAGACUCC